CCUUUGGAGUAUUAUAUCAAACACGAGUAGAUUUUUCGAAAGUGGAUACUAUGAAUAAGGAA
rnacentral:ncRNA from 1 species